AACGAACGCUGGCGGCGUGCCUAACACAUGCAAGUCGAACGGAGAUAAGAAGCUUGCUUCUUAUUUUAGUGGCGCACGGGUGAGUAACGCGUGGAUAAUCUACCUGAUGCUCUGGGAUAACAUCUCGAAAGGGGUGCUAAUACCGGAUAAGCCCACGAUCUCUUCGGAGAAUGCGGGAAAAGGAGGGGACCUUCGGGCCUUCCGCCGUCAGAUGAGUCCGCGUCCCAUUAGCUAGUUGGCGGGGUAAUGGCCCACCAAGGCUACGAUGGGUAGCUGGUCUGAGAGGAUGAUCAGCCACACUGGAACUGAGACACGGUCCAGACUCCUACGGGAGGCAGCAGUGGGGAAUUUUGCGCAAUGGGGGAAACCCUGACGCAGCAACGCCGCGUGAGUGAUGAAGGCUUUCGGGUCGUAAAGCUCUGUCAGAAGGGAAGAAAUGUAGGUGGCUAAUAUCCAUUCUACUUGACGGUACCUUCAAAGGAAGCACCGGCUAGCUCCGUGCCAGCCGCCGCGGUAAGAC
rnacentral:rRNA from 1 species